GCGCCCGUAGCUCAACUGGAUAGAGUGUCUGGCUUCGAACCAGGAGGUUGGGGGUUCGAGUCCCUCCGGGCGCG
rnacentral:tRNA from 1 species